ACCGCGGUUGCCAGGACGCGGCACUGGUGCGGGCUCGCCCGCCGCGCGGCCAGCGCGGCCGCGGCCGGUUCGAAACCCAGUCGUAGUUCC
rnacentral:tRNA from 2 species